CGACAGCGACUGGAAGAUGAAGUGGAAAGUGGACCGCGCUUGGCUAGGAGGAUGUCGUUUGGCCUGCAGCGCAGCUGAGGCCCUUUGAACGCGCCUCUAAAUGGUCACUUCCGGAGAAGUGAGCCCGGUUGGAAAAAGAACCAGAGAGAGAAAGCUUCAAGGUGUAGCCACAGAGCAUUCCUUUAACAGUAUUCAUCUGUGCACAGAAAUUCAUCCCAGAGGUCAAGAGACGGCUUUUUGGUUCUCACCUUUGUGUUUACUCUCUAUUUUAGCAGCCAUGAGCACUCCAAACUAAAGAAAAAAACUAUUGAAAAAUCAAAAUGCUAAGUCAUUGUCAAUGGUAUGUUUUAAUUGUUUCCAUCUUCAUGUGCUGUGUUGUGUGGUGGUAAGCUUUCUAAUUAAUUAAUAUUUCUGCAGAAAUGACUUUUUUAUUUUAAUUUUAAAAUCAAUAGAAAUUUUUCAAUUUUGAUUGUUUCUUUAUAAGUUUUAUUUUUUAACUUCUGCUCUCUGUCAGUCUAACAGUUUUAAUACAGAGGAUCCUCAUGCCUUAAAAGCUGUUUAAAAGUAAUCUGUAAUUAUUAUACAAUAUUCUGUGCAGUAUUGACCUCUCUCCUUUGAUUCUUGUCUCAGUUUGGAGUGGUGUUAAAAAAAGAGGGAAAAAGUAAAUGCUAUUAGUUUGGUUUCUGAAGAUGUUAUAAAUUUCUAAAUGUAUUUUAAAUAUUGUCUGUUUACUGGACAAUGAUCCACCUCACAUUUGAUGUAUUUUCCUACUGUAGUCAACACAAGAGGGUGUCUACCUCUUAUUCAUUUGUCAUGCAAAUAGCCU